AGAACGAACGCUGGCGGCAUGCCUAAUACAUGCAAGUCGAACGAACUCUUCGGAGUUAGUGGCGCACGGGUGCGUAACGCGUGGGAAUCUGCCCCUUGGUUCGGAAUAACAGUUGGAAACGACUGCUAAUACCGGAUGAUGACGAAAGUCCAAAGAUUUAUCGCCAAGGGAUGAGCCCGCGUAGGAUUAGCUAGUUGGUGAGGUAAAGGCUCACCAAGGCAACGAUCCUUAGCUGGUCUGAGAGGAUGAUCAGCCACACUGGGACUGAGACACGGCCCAGACUCCUACGGGAGGCAGCAGUAGGGAAUAUUGGACAAUGGGCGAAAGCCUGAUCCAGCAAUGCCGCGUGAGUGAUGAAGGCCUUAGGGUUGUAAAGCUCUUUACCCGAGAUGAUAAUGACAGUAUCGGAGAAUAAGCCCCGGACUAACUCCGUGCCAGCAGCCGC
rnacentral:rRNA from 1 species